rnacentral:rRNA from 1 species
UGGGGAAUUUUGCACAAUGGAGGGAACUCUGAUGCAGCGACGCCGCGUGAACGAAGAAGGUUUUCGAAUCGUAAAGUUCUGUCCUGGGUGAAGAUAAUGACGGUAAUCCAGGAGGAAGCCCCGGCUAACUACGUGCCAGCAGCCGCGGUAAUACGUAGGGGGCGAGCGUUGUCCGGAAUCAUUGGGCGUAAAGGGUACGUAGGCGGAUAAGCAAGUUAGAAGUGAAAUCCUAUAGCUCAACUAUAGUAAGCUUUUAAAACUGCUCAUCUUGAGGUAUGGAAGGGAAAGUGGAAUUCCUAGUGUAGCGGUGAAAUGCGCAGAUAUUAGGAGGAAUACCGGUGGCGAAGGCGACUUUCUGGCCAUAUACUGACGCUGAGGUACGAAAGCGUGGGUAGCAAACAGG